CUCCACGGAGGAGCAUCGCUGCUGCUCAGCAGACACCGGAAGCCUGAAGCCCGAAACAUCUUUGCUCCGAAUCGCCUGGAUUACACUUUUAAAGCCACUUCGGACCUACUUUUGAACUCGGAUUUAAUCGAUUCAUCGAAACGCGAGCGCGCAAUAUCAGAACCGUCUCAGGUGGAUGAACGCACGUGGAGGAGUUUAUUUCAUCUCUGCUUUUUAACUAUGAUUAUAACGAUGAAGGUGGCUGAUGGAUUUACCAGUUUUGCCCCGGUGCAUGUUUUGGGAAUGUGGGCUCCGGGGGGGACAAGUUUCUUUUCUGGACACAGGAAUCCCGAAGGGAACUUCGCGCGUGGGUCAAAACUGGUCACGCAGACCGCUGUGAUCCUGUAACGGAUUGCCACAUGGAAUACUAUGGGAUACCUUGCACGUCUGGAGGAUCACUAUUUACGCGGCAACACCUGUGAUCGCCUCGCUGAGCAGUGAUGGAACCUUAAUUCCUGGAGAUGUCAGUGACCAACUUCUCGCUGCCCUGACUAUGCUCACCAGCCCCGGACUCUACCAUGGUAACUCGAUCCUCUCAAGACAUCAAGUCGAGUAGUCCUAAAGCCUUGGAUCUUGGAAAUGCAUCCUGUACGAGCAGUUUGUUCCACCGUGAGCCGCUGACAGGGCUAACUGCAUGGCUGACAGUUCUGGAGACCCAGCUCCAGUCACUUGGACGACGGCGUGAUGAACAUCCAUCGUGACAUCGGAGGGUAUUCUCUUUCACCGACAUUGUGAAACCGAUUCAUCAGCUGUCCCCAUCGCUGCCGCUGCACGAAGAAAGCUCCUACGCCGUCCAAAUGAAUUUGUGUGUUGUUUACUUUGUCUUAUUUAAAACUGGAUUGGUAUUUUCCUAUUUGACAUCUGCUUUUGAUCGUCCAUGUUUCUUCUCGCUGUUGCUCAUUGGCUGUAGAUGUACAACUGUUGUAAAUGUUGAUGGAAAAUAAUCAGAUGCUAUUAUCAUUUAGCCGCCGCUAAAGCGGCGUCUGAUAGACGGGCAGAACAACAUGAAGCGAAUGUGACACACUCAUUGUCAACGUGUCUCUGAAACAAUGGCUGGCUGUGUAGACUCCUCUGCUUAUUAAAUGUGAUGAGUAUUCAGAGUUGUACUAUGUUUUGCACGUGACAGUACGGCAGGGAUUAAAACAAGAUUAAA